rnacentral:rRNA from 1 species
GUGGGGAAUAUUGGACAAUGGGCGAAAGCCUGAUCCAGCCAUGCCGCGUGAGUGAUGAAGGCCUUAGGGUUGUAAAGCUCUUUCAGUAGGGAAGAUAAUGACGGUACCUACAGAAGAAGCCCCGGCUAACUUCGUGCCAGCAGCCGCGGUAAUACGAAGGGGGCUAGCGUUGUUCGGAUUUACUGGGCGUAAAGCGCACGUAGGCGGAUUGGUCAGUUAGAGGUGAAAUCCUGGAGCUCAACUCCAGAACUGCCUUUAAUACUGCCAGUCUAGAGUCCAGAAGAGAUGAGUGGAACUCCUAGUGUAGAGGUGGAAUUCGGAGAUAUUAGGAAGAACACCAGUGGCGAAGGCGGCUCACUGGUCUGGUACUGACGCUGAGGUGCGAAAGCGUGGGGAGCAAACAGGAUUAGAAACCCGUGUAGUCC